AGCGCGCGCAGGUGGUUUCUUAAGUCUGAUGUGAAAGCCCACGGCUCAACCGUGGAGGGUCAUUGGAAACUGGGAGACUUGAGUGCAGAAGAGGAAAGUGGAAUUCCAUGUGUAGCGGUGAAAUGCGUAGAGAUAUGGAGGAACACCAGUGGCGAAGGCGACUUUCUGGUCUGUAACUGACACUGAGGCGCGAAAGCGUGGGGAGCAAACAGGAUUAGAUACCCUGGUAGUCCACGCCGUAAACGAUGAGUGCUAAGUGUUAGAGGGUUUCCGCCCUUUAGUGCUGAAGUUAACGCAUUAAGCACUCCGCCUGGGGAGUACGGCCGCAAGGCUGAAACUCAAAG
rnacentral:rRNA from 2 species